rnacentral:rRNA from 1 species
UACGUAGGGUGCAAGCGUUAAUCGGAAUUCCUGGGCGUAAAGCGUGCGCAGGCGGUUUUGUAAGACUGUCGUGAAAUCCCCGGGCUCAACCUGGGAAUGGCGAUGGUGACUGCAAGGCUAGAGUUUGGCAGAGGGGGGUAGAAUUCCACGUGUAGCAGUGAAAUGCGUAGAUAUGUGGAGGAACACCGAUGGCGAAGGCAGCCCCCUGGGUCAAAACUGACGCUCAUGCACGAAAGCGUGGGGAGCAAACAGG